rnacentral:rRNA from 1 species
GUCAACGGCCAUACCACCCUGAACACACUCGAUCUUGUCUGAUAUUGGAAGCUAAGCAGGGUCAGGCCUGAUUAGUACUUGAAUGGGAGAAACUUACUCAUUUUGGAUCUAUUGAGU